UUAUUAUUCGACCAUGCUGGUCAUUUAUGAACAUUUGAACAUCUUGGUCAUGUUCUGUUAUAAUCUCUACCCGGCACAGCCAGAAGAGGACUGGCCACCCCACAUAGCCCGGUUCCUCUCUAGGUUUCUUCCUAGGUUUUGGCCUUUCUAGGGAGUUUUUCCUAGCCACCGUGCUUUUACACCUGCAUUGUUUGCUGUUUGGGGUUUUAGGCUGGGUUUCUGUACAGCACUUUGAGAUAUCAGCUGAUGUACGAAGGGCUAUAUAAAUAAAUUUGAUUUGAUUUGAUUUGAUACUCCAUGUGUAACUCUGUGUUGUUGUUUAUUCCAUGUGUAACUCUGUGUUGUUGUUUACUCCAUGUGUAACUCUGUGUUGUUGUUUACUCCAUGUGUAACUCUGUGUUGUUGUUUAUUCCAUGUGUAACUCUGUGUUGUUGUUUACUCCAUGUGUAACUCUGUGUUGUUGUUUACUCCAUGUGUAACUCUGUGUUGUUGUUUACUCCAUGUGUAACUCUGUGUUGUUGUUUACUCCAUGUGUAACUCUGUGUUGUUGUUUAUUCCAUGUGUAACUCUGUGUUGUUGUUUACUCCAUGUGUAACUCUGUGUUGUUGUUUAUCCCAUGUGUAACUCUGUGUUGUUGUUUAUUCCAUGUGUAACUCUGUGUUGUUGUUUAUCCCAUGUGUAACUCUGUUGUUGUUGUUUAUCCCAUGUGUAACUCUGUGUUGUUGUUUACUCCAUGUGUAACUCUGUGUUGUUGUUUAUUCCAUGUGUAACUCUGUGUUGUUGUUUACUCCAUGUGUAACUCUGUGUUGUUGUUUAUUCCAUGUGUAACUCUGUGUUGUUGUUUACUCCAUGUGUAACUCUGUGUUGUUGUUUAUUCCAUGUGUAACUCUGUGUUGUUGUUUACUCCAUGUGUAACUCUGUGUUGUUGUUUACUCCAUGUGUAACUCUGUGUUGUUGUUUAUUCCAUGUGUAACUCUGUGUUGUUGUUUACUCCAUGUGUAACUCUGUGUUGUUGUUUACUCCAUGUGUAACUCUGUGUUGUUGUUUAUUCCAUGUGUAACUCUGUGUUGUUGUUUAUUCCAUGUGUAACUCUGUGUUGUUGUUUACUCCAUGUGUAACUCUGUGUUGUUGUUUACUCCAUGUGUAACUCUGUGUUGUUGUUUAUUCCAUGUGUAACUCUGUGUUGUUGUUUACUCCAUGUGUAACUCUGUGUUGUUGUUUACUCCAUGUGUAACUCUGUGUUGUUGUUUACUCCAUGUGUAACUCUGUGUUGUUGUUUACUCCAUGUGUAACUCUGUGUUGUUGUUUAUUCCAUGUGUAACUCUGUGUUGUUGUUUACUCCAUGUGUAACUCUGUGUUGUUGUUUACUCCAUGUGUAACUCUGUGUUGUUGUUUACUCCAUGUGUAACUCUGUGUUGUUGUUUAUUCCAUGUCUAACUCUGUGUUGUUGUUUACUCCAUGUGUAACUCUGUGUUGUUGUUUAUCCCAUGUGUAACUCUGUGUUGUUGUUUAUUCCAUGUGUAACUCUGUGUUGUUGUUUACUCCAUGUGUAACUCUGUUGUUGUUUGUGUCACACUGCUUUGCUUUGUCUUGGCCAGGUUGCAGUUGUAAAUGAGAACUUGUUCUCAACUGGCCUACCUGGUUAAAUAAAGGUGUUCUCAACUGGCCUACCUGGUUAAAUAAAGGUGUUCUCAACUGGCCUACCUGGUUAAAACAAUAAAGGUGAAACAAAAAAAGGUUUUCAUACUUAUAUAUUUGACCGUUUAGAAAUGAAAGCACUCUAUGUAUGUAGUGGUCCCAUUUGAAAAAGUCAAAAUUAUUUGGACAAAAUCAUUUACUCAAUUUUUUAUGGUAUUUGGUCCCAUGUUUCAUGCCUGCAGUGAUUACAUCAAGCUUGUAAUUCUACUAACUUGUUGAAUUCACUUGAAUAAUGGCGAAUUACAAAGUUAUAGAGGCACAAAGGUCAGAAAAUAAUGCUAACCUCUCCUGUUAUUGGUAAUGGUGAGAGGUUAACAUGUUUUGUUGUAGUCUCUGUUAUUGGUAAUGGUGAGAGGUUAGCAUGUUUUGUUGUAGUCUCUGUUAUUGGUAAUGGUGAGAGGUUAGCAUGUUUUGUUGUAGUCUCUGUUAUUGGUAAUGGUGAGAGGUUAGCAUGUUUUGUUGUAUCCUCUGUUAUUGGUAAUGGUGAGAGGUUAGUAUGUUUUGUUGUAGCCUCUGUUAUUGGUAAUGGUGAGAGGUUAGUAUGUUUUGUUGUCGUCUGUUAUUGGUAAUGGUGAGAGGUUAGCAUGUUUUGUUGUAGUCUGUUAUUGGUAAUGGUGAGAGGUUAGUAUGUUUUGUUGUCGUCUGUUAGUGGUAAUGGUGAGAGGUUAGUAUGUUUUGUUGUAGUCUGUUAGUGGUAAUGGUGAGAGGUUAGUAUGUUUUGUUGUAGUCUGUUAGUGGUAAUGGUGAGAGGUUAGUAUGUUUUGUUGUAGUCUGUUAGUGGUAAUGGUGAGAGGUUAGUAUGUUUUGUUGUCGUCUGUUAGUGGUAAUGGUGAGAGGUUAGUAUGUUUUGUUGUAGUCUGUUAGUGGUAAUGGUGAGAGGUUAGUAUGUUUUGUUGUCGUCUGUUAGUGGUAAUGGUGAGAGGUUAGUAUGUUUUGUUGUAGUCUGUUAGUGGUAAUGGUGAGAGGUUAGUAUGUUUUGUUGUCGUCUGUUAUUGGUAAUGGUGAGAGGUUAGCAUGUUUUGUUGUAGUCUCUGUUAUUGGUAAUGGUGAGAGGUUAGCAUGUUUUGUUGUAGUCUCUGUUAUUGGUAAUGGUGAGAGGUUAGCAUGUUUUGUUGUAGCCUCUGUUAUUGGUAAUGGUGAGAGGUUAGCAUGUUUUGUUGUAUCCUCUGUUAUUGGUAAUGGUGAGAGGUUAGCAUGUUUUGUUGUAGUCUCUGUUAUUGGUAAUGGUGAGAGGUUAGCAUGUUUUGUUGUAGCCUCUGUUAUUGGUAAUGGUGAGAGGUUAGCAUGUUUUGUUGUAGUCUCUGUUAUUGGUAAUGGUGAGUGGUUAGCAUGUUUUGAUGUAUCCUCUGUUAAUUGUAAUGGUGAGAGGUUAGCAUGUUUUGUUGUAUCCUCUGUUAUUGGUAAU